rnacentral:lncRNA from 1 species
UCAAAAUGGCGUUCAAACGGCGGAUGGUCGUUGAAGGCUCAGGCGUUCAGUAACGUCGCUGCCGCCAUCGCGACAACAUGUAUCGCUGAUUUCCGACAUCAGCAACAUUGCUCCAGUUUGGAUCUGGCAACCGAGGUCCCCGUGGCCCGGAACCCUCGGCCUCCACCAGCACUGUUGUGGACCAGCAGACGACAUACAGGAGCAGCUCGCCAGCAACAUUCCCACUCAAAAUGCAGACGUCAAACAACAGCUCUGACCCACGGAGAGUGGAUAAGAUUGUUAGGUUGUCCAUUUCUGCAGUUGUGAUGUCCUACCUUCAAAACCCACAGCCAAUGACACCUCCAUGGUCCAAUAUAUAAACAGUUCUAUAUUAUCGAUUGUUUUUGGUUGAAUGGAAAUGUAUAAUUGCCUCACCAUACUUGUAUUAAAAUUGUACUGCUGAAUGAGUGACAAUUUUAGUUUUAAUAAACUAGCUUAUGGUGCCAGGUUUGUAUUAUGAUGUGCAAUAUGGAACAGUGCCAACAUUUGAUGAUGUGCAUGAGUUACAAAAUGGCUUGGUUUGUUAAUCUUUUAAUUUGUGUAGCCUGCACUAUAUAAUUCUUGUGUUAUACUUCCCAUCCAAAAGUUUCUUGUAAGCAGCUUGUCUUUUUUUUUCUUUAACAAAUGGACAAAUUUGUAUUGUCCCAUAACAUUAUCAUGUCAUUCAUGCCAGUGUAAAAGGCAAUAGCAUGAAGGUCAAAGCUUGAAAUAUCCUGGAAUAUGAAGUACCAUACGAGUUGAUCCUCGAGUGACAACCACAUUAGUACAGUAGAUAGCCUCCAUAUUAGACAUAAAAGGAAGACUUGAUCACCACGUUAGAAAUAGAAGAGUGAAAGGGAAUUGGGAGUGGAAUGGUAGGCAGUCAGUAUGGGGAAAGGGAGACUUUUGGAGUACAGUACAGUGCUGUCCAUUCAGUAGAGCCAGGCUGUCACCUGAUCGGAUGACAGGCAAAGUUAUCAGUCACUAGCACUGAUUUUAUAGUUUUCUUCGAGGUGACAUCAACUGCAUAAUAUCUUUUUGAUCAUGAAAUUACAUUAACUCCAACCAGUUACUGCUGGCUAAUAAUUCUUAGACAUAAAGGAAAGAGGACAAAUCAGAAGAGCAUGUUAAGAUAGGGCUACCUGAAUAGGUUUCAGUUGUGGUUACUCCAUCAGAGGGGCGUUCAUGGGGAUAAAGACAGAUUCUACAGUAAAUUGUUAAUUCCUCUUUUAGGACUGCCUCCUCUUCCAUUUUGCUUAGUUAUGCAAAGUUGUUGUUUUAUGGUUACAAAGGAAACAUAUAAUUCCUUAAUUUCUUAUUUUGACUGUAUCAGAAUUUAGAAUUUCUAAAAUAUAGUUACAGGUUGUAAGUACAGUAUGUAUAACAGUUUAUACAGUACUAUACUUAGUGUAUAAAAUAUAUAUUAAUGCAGGCCAUAUGUAUUAUUGUUAAAUAUGUACUUUUGUAUUUCAUAGUAAACCUUUUACCAUAAUAUAUAAUUAUCUUCUCCUUUCAAUAGUGCAUUUGUCAUGUUGAAUUAUAUGGUAUAUCAGGAUUUUAUCGGUACUACCUUGUUGACUGCGUGUUCCUCCCGUUACUAUACUGUAUACAGUAUCUCUCCUUCCCAUUACAGUAUUACGCUGAGAUGUAUCAGUAAGGUGGUUGGGCUCACUGGCUCAAGCAAAGAAUAUUCACUAUACAAUACUAUAUUGAAUAUAAAUUCAGUGGAUUUUGUACUACAUGGGAACCUGGUCCAAGAUAGGGAUUUUAAUCUAGCCAGUGACCUGUACAAUGAAUUUGGCAUCUAGAUAAUGCAGAAUUCCUCCAAGACUGAUAAUUUUAAAUUAAUAUUACUAAAAAAUUCAAACAGUGCUUUUUCCAUGGGAUUUCUGCAUCAAAUUAUGCACAAAUGUAUGUCCUAUCAUGUGCACAAAUAAAGGGUGAAUGCUGUG